rnacentral:lncRNA from 1 species
AUCGGCACAUGAUACAUAUGUCAAUAUAUAUAAAAUAUCCAUGGUCAUAUAGAUGAUAUUACACAGAGAUCAAAUUAUUUAUCUUAAUUAUUAGUAUAUAAUAUAUGCAUGUACAAAAUCACUUAUAACCAUGUAGAUAAUUGUGUUAAGGGUUUUUACCUCGACCGACCACAAACUCUAACAUAGUUACCAACCAAUACCUUUAUUUAGAAACUAUGUGCUUCUAUAAUGCUGGUCAUGUCAGGAGCAUGGCAACCAUGAAUUCUUUUUGGGAACAAUAAACCACACAAUGAACAAGCAACUCCAUAAUCAUAAGAUGAUUUCAAAUAUGUCAUAUGCCAUUAAGGUCAUGCAUUUAGACAAGCAUAAAAAAGACAACAUUAGUUUUAGCAUACAAGAUGCAAGAAGACAUUAGAUUUCAAUUGGAUAAUUUGUGAGUUAGCAUUACCAAUAUAAUGUUGCCAAUAUAAUACAUUUUGACAUUCACAUCAAAUGCUUGUCCCAUGUAGCAUUUGCAAACUAAAUUUUAUCUACAAUGUUAAAUUUCUUAUAUUCUUUCUUGUUGCAUAAAAACCUAACGUAAAUAUGUUUUAGCAAGAACUCAUCACCAUCCAUUAUCUCCGUGAGCUCGCUCCCUAAGUGUCCGGCGAGGGUAAGCCAUAGACCAAACGAUCUCAA